GACUUUAUAAACUUGUACUCUAAUUAAUGUCAAGCUGGGGUUUUUAUUUAUAACUUUAGGUUUUAGGGUGAAAUCAGAAACCUUUAUCUUGUGGACCCUAGUUUUUAAAAUUUAAAGAACAAGCCAGAUUAGUACCUGGUUAGAUAAAAUUUAAAAGAGCAGGAGUAAAGUAGUAUUUAAACUGUAAGAAUAUUGGCAGGUUUUUAAAUUAUCUUUGGAGGUUGAGUAGUAAUUGAGAGCCCUCAUUAACAACUUUUGCUAUUGGCGCAUGUAUGAUCGUUUGUUUUAUUCUUAAGGGCUGUAAUUUUAGUUUAUAUUACUAUAAAAAUAGAUAAAUAUCUGGUCUAUGCAAAAGAUUUAAUUUGACCUACAAUAUUGAAGAAUGUGGAUCCAUUUCGUAGUGAUGUGGUUGAAAAUGUAAAAGACAGUAAGUUGGCUUUUUAUGGGCCCCUGAAGUUUAUUUAAAGAC
rnacentral:rRNA from 1 species